rnacentral:tRNA from 1 species
GGAGAGGUGUCCGAGAGGUUGAAGGUGAUAGUCUCGAAAACUAUUGCGCGAGAGAUCGUGCCGAGGGUUCAAAUCCCUCUCUCUCCGCCA